CCUACGGGAGGCAGCAGUAAGGAAUAUUGGUCAAUGGAGGCAACUCUGAACCAGCCAUGCCGCGUGCAGGAAGAAGGCCCUAUGGGUCGUAAACUGCUUUUGUACCAGAGAAAACCACAGUACGUGUACUGUGUUGAUAGUAUGGUAAGAAUAAGCAUCGGCUAACUUCGUGCCAGCAGCCGCGGUAAGACGAAGGAUGCAAGCGUUAUCCGGAUUCAUUGGGUUUAAAGGGUGCGUAGGCGGACUGAUAAGUCAGUGGUGAAAUCUCUCAGCUUAACUGAGAAACUGCCAUUGAUACUGUUAGUCUAGAGUAUAGAUGACGUUGGCGGAAUAUGACAUGUAGUGGUGAAAUACUUAGAUAUGUCAUAGAACACCGAUUGCGAAGGCAGCUAACGAAACUAUAACUGACGCUGAGGCACGAAAGUGCGGGGAUCAAACAGGAUUAGAUACCCUGGUAGUCCGCACCGUAAACGAUGAUUACUCGUUGUUGGCAAUAUGACCGUCAGNGACCAAGCGAAAAGCGAANAAGUAAUACACCNCGGAGGACGCCGGCCGACGAGAACGACGAAGAAGUAGAGGACGNGAGAGNGCGACGGACGACGACGAGGGGAGGAGG
rnacentral:rRNA from 1 species